GAAAUGCGAUAAUUAAGGUGAAUUGCAGAAUUCAGUGAAUCAUCGAGUCUUUGAACGCACAUUGCGCCCACUGGUAUUCCGGGGGCAUGCCUGUCCGAGCGUCAUUGCUGCCCUCAAGCACGGCUUGUGUGUUGGGCUUCCGUCCCUGGCAACGGGGACGGGCCCAAAAGGCAGUGGCGGCACCAUGUCUGGUCCUCGAGCGUAUGGGGCUUUGUCACCCGCUCCCGUAGGUCCAGCUGGCAGCUAGCCUCGCAACCAAUCUUUUUAACCAGGUUGACCUCGGAUCAGGUAGGGAUACCCGCUGAACUUCAGC
rnacentral:misc_RNA from 1 species